GCGGUCUUUAUUCUUCGUCUCCAGCCAGAGAUGAAAAGCAUCAAAUGAGUGAGAGAAGAAUGGAGGAAACACCACAGAGUCUGCUGCUUUGUCUGAGUUUCCUGCUGUGCUGCAGAAUAAACCAAGCUGGUCUGACUGUGAGUCCCAGUAGAUCUCAGUUCUUUAAAGAAGACUCUGUGUCUCUGAGCUGUGAGGAGGACAACAUCUCUGCUGGAUGGACUGUGAGGAGAAACACAACCA